UACGGAGGGUGCAAGCGUUAUCCGGAUUCACUGGGUUUAAAGGGUGCGUAGGCGGGCAGGGAAGUCAGUGGUGAAAUCUCCGAGCUUAACUCGGAAACUGCCGUUGAUACUCUCUGUCUUGAAUACCGUGGAGGUGAGCGGAAUAUGUCAUGUAGCGGUGAAAUGCUUAGAUAUGACAUAGAACACCAAUUGCGAAGGCAGCUCGCUACACGAAUAUUGACUCUGAGGCACGAAAGCGUGGGGAUCAAACAGG
rnacentral:rRNA from 1 species